rnacentral:tRNA from 1 species
GCUUUCGUGGUGUAAUGUUCAUCACGCUCUGCGCGUAAUCGAGAGGUCCGAGGUUCGAGUCCCGGCGAGGGCA